rnacentral:misc_RNA from 1 species
GAUGAAGAACGCAGCGAAAUGCGAUAAGUAAUGUGAAUUGCAGAAUUCAGUGAAUCAUCGAAUCUUUGAACGCACAUUGCGCCCGCCAGUAUUCUGGCGGGCAUGCCUGUCCGAGCGUCAUUUCAACCCUCGAACCCCUCCGGGGGGUCGGCGUUGGGGAUCGGCCCUUUACGGGGCCGGCCCCGAAAUACAGUGGCGGUCUCGCCGCAGCCUCUCCUGCGCAGUAGUUUGCACACUCGCAUCGGGAGCGCGGCGCGUCCACAGCCGUUAAACACCCCAAACUUCUGAAAUGUUGACCUCGGAUCAGGUAGGAAUACCCGCUGAACUUAAGUAUAUCAAUAAGCGGAGGA